AUGAACGCUAGCUACAGGCUUAACACAUGCAAGUCGAGGGGCAUCAGUUUGGUUUGCUUGCAAACCAAAGCUGGCGACCGGCGCACGGGUGAGUAACACGUAUCCAACCUGCCUCAUACUCGGGGAUAGCCUUUCGAAAGAAAGAUUAAUAUCCGAUAGCAUAUAUUUCCCGCAUGGGUUUUAUAUUAAAGAAAUUCGGUAUGAGAUGGGGAUGCGUUCCAUUAGUUUGUUGGGGGGGUAACGGCCCACCAAGACUACGAUGGAUAGGGGUUCUGAGAGGAAGGUCCCCCACAUUGGAACUGAGACACGGUCCAAACUCCUACGGGAGGCAGCAGUGAGGAAUAUUGGUCAAUGGACGCGAGUCUGAACCAGCCAAGUAGCGUGAAGGAUGACUGCCCUAUGGGUUGUAAACUUCUUUUAUAUGGGAAUAAAGUUGUCCACGUGUGGAUUUUUGUAUGUACCAUAUGAAUAAGGAUCGGCUAACUCCGUGCCAGCAGCCGCGGUAAUACGGAGGAUCCGAGCGUUAUCCGGAUUUAUUGGGUUUAAAGGGAGCGUAGGCGGAUUGUUAAGUCAGUUGUGAAAGUUUGCGGCUCAACCGUAAAAUUGCAGUUGAUACUGGCAGUCUUGAGUGCAGUAGAGGUGGGCGGAAUUCGUGGUGUAGCGGUGAAAUGCUUAGAUAUCACGAAGAACUCCGAUUGCGAAGGCAGCUCACUGGAGUGUAACUGACGCUGAUGCUCGAAAGUGUGGGUAUCAAACAGGAUUAGAUACCCUGGUAGUCCACACAGUAAACGAUGAAUACUCGCUGUUUGCGAUAUACAGUAAGCGGCCAAGCGAAAGCAUUAAGUAUUCCACCUGGGGAGUACGCCGGCAACGGUGAAACUCAAAGGAAUUGACGGGGGCCCGCACAAGCGGUGGAGCAUGUGGUUUAAUUCGAAGCAACGCGAAGAACCUUACCAAGUCUUGACAUCCUGCUGACCGUUCCUUAACCGGAAUUUUCCUUCGGGACAGCAGAGACAGGUGGUGCAUGGUUGUCGUCAGCUCGUGCCGUGAGGUGUCGGCUUAAGUGCCAUAACGAGCGCAACCCUUAUCUUCAGUUACUAACAGGUCAUGCUGAGGACUCUGGAGAGACUGCCGUCGUAAGAUGUGAGGAAGGUGGGGAUGACGUCAAAUCAGCACGGCCCUUACGUCCGGGGCUACACACGUGUUACAAUGGGGGGUACAGAAGGCCGCUACCUGGUGACAGGAUGCCAAUCCCAAAAACCUCUCUCAGUUCGGAUCGAAGUCUGCAACCCGACUUCGUGAAGCUGGAUUCGCUAGUAAUCGCGCAUCAGCCAUGGCGCGGUGAAUACGUUCCCGGGCCUUGUACACACCGCCCGUCAAGCCAUGAAAGCCGGGGGUACCUGAAGUACGUAACCGCAAGGAGCGUCCUAGGGUAAAACUGGUAAUUGGGGCU
rnacentral:rRNA from 1 species